UACGGGGGGGGCAAGCGUUGUUCGGAAUUACUGGGCGUAAAGGGCGCGUAGGCGGCCUGCUAAGUCGGAUGUGAAAUCCCUCGGCUCAACCGAGGAACUGCAUCCGAUACUGGCGGGCUUGAAUCCGGGAGAGGGAUGUGGAAUUCCAGGUGUAGCGGUGAAAUGCGUAGAUAUCGGAAGGAACACCGGUGGCGAAAGCGGCGCGCUGGACCUCUUCUGACGCUGAGGCGCGAAAGCCAGGGGAGCGAACGGG
rnacentral:rRNA from 1 species